CGACGUGAGGAACCUGCCUUGGAGUGGGGAAUAACAGUUAGAAAUAGCUGCUAAUACCGCAUAAUGCAGUUGGGUCGCAUGGCUCUGACUGCCAAAGAUUUAUCGCUCUGAGAUGGCCUCGCGUCUGAUUAGAUAGUUGGCGGGGUAACGGCCCACCAAGUCGACGAUCAGUAGCCGGACUGAGAGGUUGGCCGGCCACAUUGGGACUGAGACACGGCCCAGACUCCUACGGGAGGCAGCAG
rnacentral:rRNA from 1 species